GGAGGAACACCGAUGGCGAAGGCAGGUCUCUGGGCUGUUACUGACGCUGAGAAGCGAACGCAUGGGUAGCGAACAGGAUUAGAUACCCUGGUAGUCCAUGCCGUAAACGUUGGGCACUAGGUGUGGGGGACAUUCCACGUUUUCCGCGCCGUAGCUAACGCAUUAAGUGCCCCGCCUGGGGAGUACGGCCGCAAGGCUAAAACUCAAAGGAAUUGACGGGGGCCCGCACAAGCGGCGGAGCAUGCGGAUUAAUUCGAUGCAACGCGAAGAACCUUACCAAGGCUUGACAUACACCGGACCGCGCUGGAGACAGCGUCUCCCUUCGGGGCUGGUGUACAGGUGGUGCAUGGUUGUCGUCAGCUCGUGUCGUGAGAUGUUGGGUUAAGUCCCGCAACGAGCGCAACCCUUAUCCUAUGUUGCCAGCACGUGAUGGUGGGGACUCAUGGGAGACUGCCGGGGUCAACUCGGAGGAAGGUGGGGAUGACGUCAGAUCAUCAUGCCCCUUAUGUCUUGGGCUUCACGCAUGCUACAAUGGCCGGUACAGCGGGUUGCGAUGCCGUGAGGUGGAGCUAAUCCCUAAAAGCCGGUCUCAGUUCGGAUCGAAGUCUGCAACUCGACUUCGUGAAGUUGGAGUCGCUAGUAAUCGCAGAUCAGCAAUGCUGCGGUGGAUACGUUCCCGGGCCUUGUACACACCGCCCGUCAAGUCACGAAAGUUGGUAACACCCGGAGCCCACGGCCCAACCGGUUUUCCGGGGGGAGUGAUCGAAG
rnacentral:rRNA from 1 species